GACCUGAUAGCACAGUUGUUAGUGCGUCUGUUAGUAGUACUAGUGUUGAAAGUAGUGUAAGCAGAAGACUUCGGUUCGAAUCCGGCUCAGGUCA